AGAGUUUGAUCCUGGCUCAGCCUGAACGCUGGCGGCGUGGCUAAGACAUGCAAGUCGUACGGGUGCAGCAAUGCACCAGUGGCGGACGGGUGAGUAAUGUAUCGCUAAUGUACCCCUUACUCUGGGAUAGCCGAGGGAAACUUCGGGUAAUACCAGAUGAUAUAACUGUGUCGCAUGGCAUAGUUCUCAAAGGGCAACCGGUUAGGGAGCAGGCGAUAUCGUAUCAGCUUGUUGGUGAGGUAACGGCCCACCAAGGCGACGAUGGAUAGCUGGUCUGAGAGGACGAUCAGCCACACUGGGACUGAGACACGGCCCAGACUCCUACGGGAGGCAGCAGUGGGGAAUAUUGGACAAUGGGCGAAAGCCUGAUCCAGCAAUGCCGCGUGUGUGAAGAAGGCCUGCGGGUUGUAAAGCACUUUCAGCAGGGAAGAAAAGCUCGGGGCUAAUAUCCCUGGGACUUGACGUCACCUGCAGAAGAAGCACCGGCUAACUCCGUGCCAGCAGCCGCGGUAAUACGGAGGGUGCGAGCGUUAAUCGGAAUUACUGGGCGUAAAGCGCGCGUAGGCGGUUUGGCAAGUCGGAUGUGAAAGCCCCGGGCUUAACCUGGGAAUUGCAUUCGAGACUGCUUGACUAGAGUUUAGUAGAGGAAAGCGGAAUUCCGGGUGUAGCGGUGAAAUGCGUAGAUAUCCGGAAGAACAUCAGUGGCGAAGGCGGCUUUCUGGACUAAAACUGACGCUGAGGUGCGAAAGCGUGGGGAGCAAACAGGAUUAGAUACCCCGGUAGUCC
rnacentral:rRNA from 1 species